rnacentral:misc_RNA from 1 species
CCAUCGGAAGGUGAAAUGAAGUUGUAGGGUGACAGGUUCGCUUAGGGUGAAGGUGUUCUGGCCGAGGGCGUGACUAGAUACGUUGCCAAAGCUGCAGGAGCCGAUGGCGGUGACAUUCGACUGAUAUUCCUUCAAGCAGAGCCAGAAGGCUGUCGAGCACGGUGUCGUGCACGGUGGUAAUUCUCCCUUUCCUCCGCCAUCACCUCCUCCGCCGCAACACCUACCGUCCACCAGGGUGCCCCUGUUGUUCGUUAGCGAGAGGAUCUGUACCUCGAAGAAUCCGCUCGCGUUCGUAGCCUAUGACAAUCGACAAAAUCUUUCAUUCUAGCACCAGAUUCCUGUAUCUUCAUACGAUUUUUCGAAUCCGGGAAAGUGCAUGGAUGGGGGAAAAAUCGGCUGACACCGAUGACGCCUAAAUUUCGCCGAGGACACAAAGCCCGAUUCUUAUGAAUGCCUUUCGGGUACGUGAA